CCUACGGGGGGCUGCAGUGGGGAAUAUUGGGCAAUGGGCGCAAGCCUGACCCAGCAACGCCGCGUGAAGGAAGAAGGCUUUCGGGUUGUAAACUUCUUUUGUCAGGGAAGAGUAGAAGACUGUACCUGGCGAAUAAGCCACGGCUAACUACGUGCCAGCAGCCGCGGUAAUACGUAGGUGGCAAGCGUUGUCCGGAUUUACUGGGUGUAAAGGGCGUGUAGCCGGGAAGGCAAGUCAGAUGUGAAAUCUGGAGGCUCAACCUCCAAACUGCAUUUGAAACUGUUUUUCUUGAGUAUCGGAGAGGCAAUCGGAAUUCCUAGUGUAGCGGUGAAAUGCGUAGAUAUUAGGAGGAACACCAGUGGCGAAGGCGGAUUGCUGGACGACAACUGACGCUGAGGCGCGAAAGCGUGGGGAGCAAACAGGAUUAGAUACCCCAGUAGUC
rnacentral:rRNA from 1 species